rnacentral:rRNA from 1 species
UACGUAGGGUGCAAGCGUUAAUCGGAAUUACUGGGCGUAAAGCGUGCGCAGGCGGCUUUGCAAGACAGAUGUGAAAUCCCCGGGCUCAACCUGGGAACUGCAUUUGUGACUGCAUGGCUAGAGUACGGUAGAGGGGGAUGGAAUUCCGCGUGUAGCAGUGAAAUGCGUAGAUAUGCGGAGGAACACCGAUGGCGAAGGCAAUCCCCUGGACCUGUACUGACGCUCAUGCACGAAAGCGUGGGGGUCAAACAGG